rnacentral:rRNA from 1 species
AAUGGCAGGUCAGCAUACUGCCGUGAAUACGUUCCCGGGCCUGUACACACCGCCCGCCACACCAUGAGAGUUGGGAAUACCCGAAGCCUGUGAGCUAACGAAAGAGGCAGCAGUCGAAGGUAGAAUCAAUGAUUGGGGUGAAGUCGUAACAAGGUAAC